rnacentral:rRNA from 1 species
CCUACGGGGUGCAGCAGUGAGGAAUAUUGGUCAAUGGCCGGAAGGCUGAACCAGCCAAGCCGCGUGAGGGAGGAAGGCGCAGAGCGUCGCAGACCUCUUUUGCCGGGGGACAAAAGGCCGGACGGGUCCGGUUCUGAGGGUACCCGGAGAAAAAGCAUCGGCUAACUCCGUGCCAGCAGCCGCGGUAAGACGGAGGAUGCGAGCGUUAUCCGGAUUUAUUGGGUUUAAAGGGGGCGCAGGCGGUCUGUUAAGUCAGCGGGCAAAGCCCGGGGCUCAACCCCCGCCCCGCCGUUGAACCUGGCAGUCUCGAGUUGGAGAGAAGUAUGCGGAAUGCGCGGUGUAGCGGUGAAAUGCAUAGAUAUCGCGCAGAACUCCGAUUGCGAAGGCAGCAUACCGGCGGCGAUCUGACACUGAGGCACGAAAGCGUGGGUAUCGAACAGGAUUAGAUACCCCGGUAGUC